rnacentral:rRNA from 1 species
GAUGAACGCUGGCGGUAUGCCUAACACAUGCAAGUCGUACGAGAGUUUUUAAUUCUAGUGGCGGACGGGUGAGUAACACGUGAGAAUUUACCUUUAGGAGGGGGAUAACAAUUGGAAACGAAUGCUAAUACCCCAUAUGCUUUUGAGUGAAAUGGAUUUAUAAUUAUCCGCCUAAAGAAAAGCUCGCGGCUGAUUAGCUUGUUGGUAAGGUAAGAGCUUACCAAGGCGACGAUCAGUAUCUGGUUUGAGAGGACAAUCAGACACACUGGAACUGAGACACGGUCCAGACUCCUACGGGAGGCAGCAGUGGGGAAUUUUCCGCAAUGGGCGAAAGCCUGACGGAGCAAUACCGCGUGAGGGAAGACUGCCUAUGGGUUGUAAACCUCUUUUUUCAGGGAGGAAUAAAAUGACGUGUACCUGAAGAAUAAGCAUCGGCUAAACUCCGUG